GGCGCUUCGGGGCAAGGGACGGAUACAUGAACCGUGACCAGAGUGCCUCUCUUUAAGGACUUGUUCUGGUCCUGAGAACUGAGUUCUGGGGGGGCCCAGGGGCGGCUAGAAAGUCGGCCUGCAGCAGGAGGGUGGCACGUGAGCUGGACUUCGCAGGCUCAGGCUGAUGGGAGAGACCAGUAAGGGCCGGGAGCGUGACGCCGAGGUCAUCUGCGUGGCCGGCCUGUGGGAAGCUGGGGACGCUGGGGGAGCGGGAGGACAUGAUACUGGACAGGAAGGGCGAGGCCAGACUGUGAGGCCUCUGGGGGUCUUGCCAAGGCGGCUGCCCCCCUCUGAAGAUCUGUGGACCGGAAGCGCCAGCCUCUCCUCUCUUCUCAGAUCCCAGGAUGCCGCUGAAGGAACGUAAGUUUCUUUUUCUUUUUGUUCUCAAAAGGGGUGAUUCCAGGCACCAGGACAAGCUGGUAGGUGAUAUUUGGUGGACGUCCAAGCCUUUGUUACCUCUCGUGGGCUGCGUAAUCCCUGCUUGGCCAUUGUCUCUGAGAGGCGUGCUCUGGGAAGCCCAUUCCUUCCUGAGUUCCUUAGUGUUCUUGCCUCUGCUUUCUCGGGACUCAUCAGAGUCGGCCUCCUCCAGGAUGCCUGCCUGGGCUAAGGCAAUGACAGACAACUGACUCCAUCUACUUCGAGUCAAGCUAAGCUCUCUUCCUCUCAGAAGAGAAGAGUGUGGUAAUGAGGGACCUACACUCUGGGGCAAGAGGGGUGGCGGGGGGGCUUCCAAUCCAAACUGCUGCUCAGUAGCUAUGUGAACUUGGAUAAGUGACUGAACAUGGGAUGCCUCAGUUUCCUCGUAUGUGAAAUGGAGAUCAUACCUGUAUCUACUAGCCGUGCGGAUGCCAACAGCCCGUGCCCACUGUGAUCUGCCUUGUGCUCACACCACCACAUCCCGGCCAUGGAAUGGGUUGUGUGUCUGCAAUGGCCCCAGGUGGUGUAUGCCGCCUUUGUCUUCCAGGGCUUCGGAAAGGCAGCUCAAACGACAUGCGGGCCUCCCUCAUGCUGACGAGUGCUGUGGACAAUUCGGAUGACAGUCAGCCACUGCGCCCAAGGGAGCUCCGCGCUCAGAAGCUCCCUGUCAGAUGCCAGGGGACAUGGCACCUUCCUUGUGGGGUCUCACUCUUCCUGCUCGAUCUCUCCAGCAGCCGUGUAUUGCUCCUGCAGUGUGGAGGGAGCAAAGCCAGCUCUGCAGCUGCCGUAGAUCUGCUCUUUCCCAAGAGGCAAAUGCAGCUCUGCUCCACUGUGCAUUCUCUGCAAGUUGGGUACACGCAUCGCUUGAACCAGAAACAUCAACUUAAAAAUGGCUGUGAUGGCGGCGCCUGGGUGGCGCAGUCGUUAAGCGUCUGCCUUCGUCUCAGGGCGUGAUCCCGGCGUUAUGGGAUCGAGCCCCACAUCAGGCUCCUCCGCUAUGAGCCUGCUUCUUCCUCUCCCACUCCCCCUGCUUGUGUUCCCUCUCUCGCUGGCUGUCUCUCUCUCUGUCAAAUAAAUAAAUAAAAUCUUUAAA
rnacentral:lncRNA from 1 species